UGACAGUAAACAUGUCUUGACACAAGGCUGAAUACAGAAGUUACCUGAUCUUUGCCUUUUUUUGACAUAUGCAUAUGGAAAACAUUUGCUACAAAUCAAUCAAGAACCAAGACUUUGGCUUCUCUGUGUGAAUCUGUUCUUCCAGCACAAACAGCACUAGGCCAUUAAAACGAUAAGUUUCAUGAAUUUAGAAGAGGUAAUUCUGUAGUCCUUGCUUGGAUUUGAGUAGGAUGUUUCAGCAUCAUGAAGUCAUGAAGGAGCUAGGCCUUGAGCUGAAGUGUGACUGGAUCCAGAUGGAGGGUCCUGCCAUCAAAACUGGGAUAGAAGAUUGCUACAUGGUGGGAAUGCAUGGGGAAUAGAGAUUGCCAAUCACUGUAGGAGGCAUAGUCCUAAAUACCACUGCCCAGAGGAACACUUGCCACAGGAUAUUCUUACUGGAGCAGCUGCACGUUACCCAGCAACCAGUACAUGUCAGUUCCUGUUGGUUGGGAAAGCUGCAAGCUUGGCAUGUCCUCCACCUCCUACUCCAUCUACCUGACUCAGCAGGAUCUGCAGGCAGAAAUCCACAUGGGAGGAGCUGAUGAGGGAUCAGAUAGUCCGCCUGCAGUCCCUCAUCCAGGGACUCAGGGAAGAGCACAUGGAGCGGGCUGCUGAUUAAGAGGAGCACCAGGAGUGGGCUGCUGACCAGGAGGAGAGAAAGGCACCCUGGGAAGUCAUCAGCAUGACACCAUGUUCAGCACCCUCACCUCAAUGAUGGAGCACAUGGCAUUGUUCAUGGAGUGGGCCACCAGCCACCUCCCCACCCACCCCAUGACUUCCCUUCCAAGACUUUCCAGGGGAUGCCAGGGACCCACAACGCAGGGUGGUGGGACCAUUAGGGCAGCCAGAGCCUCCAGACCACUCAGAGGCCAGUGUCACUCCCAGUUCCGUCCCUGAGCCCUCCUCUCCUAUUCCAGCUUCUUUUCCCAUUACCUUCCCUGUGGUAUGUCCCCUCUGUAAAGAGUCCUGUUUUUUCAAAAAAGAUGUCUUUAUUGUUUGCUCUGCGGGGAGGAGGGAGUGGGCGAUGAAAGACACACACGGGGAAUACAGGGGCUCCUUGUCAAGAGCUAGUGGGAAGAGUCUCAGAACUGGACUUGCAUGAAACUCUCCUUCAAAGCCUCUCUGCCCCUUGCAGUGCUGUCCUGCUGGCACUGGUGUCUGGCUGCUCGAACUGCCUUGCCAGACAUUCAACCUCAGGCUCUCCACCCAGCAGAAAAGUCUCCCCCUUGCUUUUGCACAGCUUGUGGAGCACACAACAGGCUGCCACCACGAAGGGGAUGUUGCACUCACUGAGGUCCAGACAGCUGAGAAGACUCCUGAAUCUUUCUUUUAAAUGCCCAAAUGCACAUUUCACAAUCAUUCAGCACCUGCCCAGCCUGGUGUUGAAUUCCUCCUUGCUGAGGUCCAGGCUGCCCAUGUAGGGCUUCAUGAGCCAGGGGAGCAAGGUAUAGGCUACAUUGCCCAGGAUGGUGAUGGGCAUGUCCACCUCCCUGACUCUCAUAGUGCAGUCAGGGAAAAAAGUGCUGGCAUGCAACUUUCGGAAGAGGCAUGAGUUGCAGAAAAUGUGGGCAUCGUGAGCCUUUCCUGACCAUCCAACAUUGAUGUUGAUGAAGUGGUCCCAUCAGUCCAAGCUCGACUCCCUCUACGAGAAGCAGCUUUUCACAGUUUCCAAGGGAUGAGGUGUAUACGCAGCAGCAGAAGCACCAGGACCUGGCUGAGCAGGGCCUGUAGGCCACGCUGGGGUUUGUCCUCUUCAUCUUCAUCCUACUGGAACAACAUGCAGGCAGUUUGGAGGUACUGCCCCAUGAGGCGCAGCAUGAGGCCUGUGAGCCUGGCUCUGUUUUGCAGCAGCUCUGGCUCCAUAGUGUCAGUGCUGAGGUGUCUGUCAAGGCAACCAGAGCACAAGAGGGCAUGUGCCUACCGUGUCCUUUUUCUGUCCCAUGAGGGGGGAAGCAGUAGAAGAGUGGCUUCUGAGACAUGGCCAUAGAAAGGAGCCCCUAUAAGCACAGCCUGCCAGACCAAGCAGCCACAGGAAGUAUCCACCCUCCUGGUGCCCUGCCCAGAGUGCUUCCAGGGGCUGUAAGUCCUAGAUAGGCUCUGUUUAAUGUGCAUGUGCUAUUUUGGACUAAUUCGAACUAUUUUCAAGGUGUUCCCCAUAGUGAGGACACACUAAUUCGAAUUUGUUACAUCAGGAGUUAAGUCAAAUUUAGUAAUUUUGAAAUAAUUUCCUAAUGUAAACAUAGCCUAAGGGAAUAUCCUCCUGCACCAAUGUUCCAUUUAUUUCUGCACCACCUCAGAGAGAAAACAAAAUAUGCUUUCAUGUUCUUUCCUAAGUUUAGAUUUUACUAUUAUUUUCUUGUAUUUCCUUCCCUGUGUUCCCCAAGUGGAAAUAUACAGAUGUACUGCCAAUGAGGGGGAGGCAAAGGGAGCAGUUACCCAGGAGCCCGGUGAUGGAAAGGGGCCCAGGUCUCCCAGCUACCACUGCUGCUGCUGCUACUGUGGCAAUGGUGGCCACUGAAGCCACAGACCCUUUAAAUUAGCACUGGGGCCUUAUGUGGCACAUUCUAGAGCCUCGGGCAGCAUACUCCAGGUGACUCUGAGGACUGGUAUAAAGUGUCUUAGUAUGAUCUGGGCAGUGCUGAGGGAUGGCUGCACUCAAUCCUCAACCUUAAUGCCCAAGGCCUCACCCCUUCUGGGAACACAGAGCUGCCCCCAGUCCUAUCUUGGCCUGGGGCUCAGCAACUCUAUUGCACCCCCUGGUCCUUCAAGAACAAUGCAGAAAUAGACUAUGAAACUCAUUGUCACAUAAUGUUUCUAAGGUCAAAAGUUUAGUAAUACAAUGUUCUAUUAUAACAUCAGCAUAACCAGAUUAUCCACAUUUUCCAAUCUGUUGUACAGCAUAUUGUGAGAAAUAUGAAGGAAAUUUUUCUUUAAUUGUAAAAUUGUAUUCUGCUAUUCAUAUUCACAAUUGUGGAUAUAGGAUAUUUUCUUUCAUUUAUUUUCAUACUAGCCCACAGUUAAACCAAUUUCCACCAAAUUUCCUAGCAAUACACUAUCUAUGGAUUAUUUCAAGAUAAGGUCUUAUCUAAAAAUUAAAGGGAAAAACCUCUUAUAUUUUAAUAUACUAUAAAAUCUAGAUAGAAAGGCACCAGACUGAUGAAUAUGACUAGAAUAAACCCAUUUCACAGUAGAGAAGAUGUCUCUUUUGUCUCAUUAAGUCUAUGAGUCCAGACCAUUAGAUUUCUGCCUUUACUACCUAGCUGGCAUUGAAGAUCUUGACUAAAUGAAUGAAUUUCUAAAUCACUGCAGGAAGAUUUAUCUAGCUAUGUGGUUUUUUGUGGUAGGACAAGGAAGAUUUGACUUAAGUCCCUUGAACAUAAGAUUUACUUCUUUUCAUAACUCAGAUGAGUAACUUCUUGGAUUGCAUCAAAUUCUUCCCGGGAAAUAAAAUAUUUUUAGAUAAGGGUAUGUUAUAUCUAGGUAACAUUUUAAAUAUGAGAAGAUUUAUCUUACACUAAAAAAUUUUCUUAUUUGAAGAUGAGGAUGUGCCAAAGCUAAAUAAGAGAUGUCUUGGUUGAUAUGAAAGGAUGAAUUUAUUUCCACAGAAAAACUUAGACAUGAUUCCUAAUCUUGUGCUUUCUUCAUUGAAGGACAGAGUAAUAAUUUUGCUGUCCCUUCUAGCAGAGGUACUAGUAAUCAAAAGGGCUAUUUUAUAAGAAAGAAGAGUCUUAGGUAUAUAAUUAAUAAAUCAAAUUAUGAAAAACAAAGUUCACUCCUAGAAGAAAUGUAUCUUUCUAAUACUAAAUUCAGAUGGACUCAAAUAAUAAGCUGGGGGAGUUUAGCAAAUAAUUCUGCAUCUAAUGGCCCCAAGAUCUAAUGGCCCAUCUAAUGGCCCCAAACAUUCAAGUUUGGAUAAAAAUAACCUUUUAUAAAGCAUGUUUUGAAGGGGUUUAAGAAGGCUCAGUUUUUGAAAAAUGUGCAAGAACCUUUGCAAAUGCAAAAAGCGAUCCUGUGGACAAAUUCCUGAUGUAAAUGUGGAAUUUUCACACUUUGGAUAUAAUUUUUUUUGCUAUGAUAUUUGUGAAAAUAGGACACUGUAAAGUUCCUGAUUUUUCAGAUUCUACCCAUUCCAGUAGAAUAUGCUGCUAGAAAUCCAUGUCUAUAUGGGAAUCAAUAUAGUGAUGGGGAAGUACAUUAUGAAGGGGGAAGGGGUGGUAUUUUUAGCUUGGAACCAUAUACAGGCAAUGGGUAAAGGUGUCAAGAGUCUUUUAGUGACAAGUAUGCCUAAAUUCCAUUGACUCUCAAUGGGACUUGGCACUUUUGAAACAUUUAUCCAUUGUACUCCUUUUUUCAUUUUCAAAAGCAUUUUACAAACAUUAUUUCUUCCAUACUCUUUAAAUAUACUAGUUAGUCUUCUCGAUUUAAGUAACGCAUCAACUUUCUGCUAUUAAGUAAUCUCUUCAGAUUAAUCUUUUCAUGAUGCAUCCCAUUAAAGAUUUCUUGUCCUGAUGAUUUUGGAGAAAUGGCCCAUUGGACACAGGAGACAGAUCCUUAAAUAAAAAGCAAUCUAUAAACCAUAAAAAUCUAGGUCUCAUUUCAGUAAAAAGAAUUACUUUUGUUUUACCAUUUAUAAUCUCUU